CCUACGGGGGGCUGCAGUGGGGAAUAUUGCACAAUGGGGGAAACCCUGAUGCAGCGACGUCGCGUGAGUGAAGAAGUAAUUCGUUAUGUAAAGCUCUAUUAGCAGGGGAGAAAAUGACGGUACCUGAGUAAGAAGCCCCGUCUAACUACGUGCCAGCAGCCGUGGUAAUACGUAGGGGGCAAGCGUUAUCCGGAUUUACUGGGUGUAAGGGGAGCGUAGACGGCAGUGCAAGUCUGGAGGGAAAGGCGGGGGCUCAACCCCAGGACUGCUCUGGAAACUGUACGGCUGGAGUGCAGGAGAGGUAAGUGGAAUUCCUAGUGUAGCGGUGAAAUGCGUAGAUAUUAGGAGGAACACCGGUGGCGAAGGCGGCUUACUGGACUGUAACUGACGUUGAGGCUCGAAAGCGUGGGGAGCAAACAGGAUUAGAUACCCCUGUAGUC
rnacentral:rRNA from 1 species